rnacentral:rRNA from 1 species
AAGCUCGUAGUUGAAUUUCGAAUGUGGCUGGGCGGUACGCCUCACGGUGUGUACUGUCUGGCUGUGUUCUCUUUCUUGGUGAGCCGGCAUGCCCUUUACUGGGUGUGUUGGGGAACCAGGACGUUUACCUUGAGAAAAUUAGAGUGUUCAAAGCAGGCCUACGCCCGAAUACAUUAGCAUGGCAUAAUAAAAUAGGACGUGCGGUUCUAUUUUGUUGGUUUCUAGAGCCGCAGUAAUGAUUAAUAGGGUAGUUGGGCUAAGCGGGCUGGCAAGG